AACGCGAAGAACCUUACCUGGGUUUGACAUGCAGAGGAAACUUUGGUGAAAGCCAGAGCCUCCCGCAAGGGACUUCUGCGCAGGUGGUGCAUGGCUGUCGUCAGCUCGUGCCGUGAGGUGUUGGGUUAAGUCCCGCAACGAGCGCAACCCUUACUCGUAGUUGCCACCCGCAAGGGGGAACUCUACGAGGACUGCUCCGGAUAACGGAGAGGAAGGUGGGGAUGAGGUCAAGUCAGCAUGGCCUUUAUGUCCAGGGCCACACACGUGUUACAAUGCGCGCCACAAAGCGUCGCGAACCCGCGAGGGGGAGCUAAUCGCAAAAAAGCGCGCUCAGUUCGGAUUGCAGUCUGCAACUCGACUGCAUGAAGCUGGAAUCGCUAGUAAUGGCGCAUCAGAACGGCGCCGUGAAUACGUUCCCGGGCCUUGUACACACCGCUCGUC
rnacentral:rRNA from 1 species